rnacentral:rRNA from 1 species
UACGGAGGAUGCAAGCGUUAUCCGGAUUUAUUGGGUUUAAAGGGUGCGUAGGCGGAUUUAUAAGUCAGUGGUGAAAGUUUGCGGCUUAACCGUAAAAUUGCCAUUGAUACUGUAGAUCUUGAGUACAGUUGAGGUAGGCGGAAUGUGUAAUGUAGCGGUGAAAUGCAUAGAUAUUACACAGAACACCGAUUGCGAAGGCAGCUUACUAGACUGUAACUGACGCUGAGGCACGAAAGCGUGGGGAUCGAACAGG